rnacentral:piRNA from 1 species
CCAAAUUCUUGUUUGGUUUCUGAAGUUGGUC